UGGGAAUGCAAAAUGGUACCCACUUUGGAA
rnacentral:piRNA from 1 species